CCUACGGGAGGCAGCAGUGGGGAAUAUUGGACAAUGGGGGCAACCCUGAUCCAGCCAUGCCGCGUGAGUGAUGAAGGCCCUAGGGUUGUAAAGCUCUUUCGGCGGGGACGAUAAUGACGGUACCCGCAGAAGAAGCCCCGGCUAACUUCGUGCCAGCAGCCGCGGUAAUACGAAGGGGGCUAGCGUUGCUCGGAAUCACUGGGCGUAAAGCGCACGUAGGCGGAUCUUUAAGUCAGGGGUGAAAUCCCAAGGCUCAACCUUGGAACUGCCUUUGAUACUGGGGAUCUCGAGUCCGGAAGAGGUGAGUGGAACUGCGAGUGUAGAGGUGAAAUUCGUAGAUAUUCGCAAGAACACCAGUGGCGAAGGCGGCUCACUGGUCCGGCACUGACGCUGAGGUGCGAAGCGUGGGGAGGCAACAGGAUAGAUACCUGGUAGUCCACGCCGUAACGAUGAUGCUAGCCGUUCGGUACGAGCUUGCUGUUCUAGUGGCGGCGACGGUUAACCCGUUUAACGUACACUCCCGCCCGUCGGGGUAGGUACGGUCGCGAAGAAGUUAAAACUAACGAAAGGAAAGUUAAGUACGG
rnacentral:rRNA from 1 species